rnacentral:rRNA from 1 species
AUUGAACGCUGGCGGCAUGCCUUACACAUGCAAGUCGAACGGUAACAGGUCUUCGGAUGCUGACUAGUGGCGGACGGGGGCGUAAUACAUCGGAACGUGCCCGAUCCUGGGGGAUAACGGAGCGAAACGUUGGCUAAUACCGCAUACGAUCUACGGAGUACAGCCGGGGACCGCAAGGGCUUUUGCGGACUUAGCGGCCGAUGUCGGAUUAGGUAGUUGGUGGUAUAAAAGCUUACCAAGCCGACGAUCUGUAGCUGGUCUGAGAGGAAGACCAGCCACACUGGAACUGAGACACGGCCCAGACUCCUACGGGAGGCAGCAGUGGGGAAUUUUGGACAAUGGGCGAAAGCCUGAUCCAGCCAUGCCGCGUGCAGGAUGAAGGCCUUCGGGUUGUAAACUGCUUUUGUACGGAAAGAAAAGAAUCUUUCUAAUAAAGAGGGUCCAUGACGGUACCGUAAGAAUAAGCACCGGCUAACUACGUG